rnacentral:rRNA from 1 species
AAUGAACGCUGGCGGCGUGCCUAAUACAUGCAAGUCGAGCGAACGGACGAGAAGUUUGCUCCCCUGAGUUUAGCGGGGGACGGGUGAGUACCACGGGGUUAACCUACCUAUAAGACUGGGAUAAUUUCGGGAAACCGUGGCUAAUACCGAAAAAUUUUUUGAACCGCAUGGUUCAAAAGUGAAAGACGGUCUUGCGGUCACUUAAAGAUGGAUCCGCGCUGCAUUAGUUAGUUGGUAAGGUAACGGCUUACCAAGGCAACGAUGCAUAGCCGACCUGAGAGGGUGAUCGGCCACACUGGAACUGAGACACGGUCCAGACUCCUACGGGAGGCAGCAGUAGGGAAUCUUCCGCAAUGGGCGAAAGCCUGACGGAGCAACGCCGCGUGAGUGAUGAAGGUCUUCGGAUCGUAAAACUCUGUUAUUAGGGAAGAACAUAUGUGUAAGUAACUGUGCACAUCUUGACGGUACCUAAUCAGAAAGCCACGGCUAACUACGUG